GACGAACGCUGGCGGCGUGCUUAACACAUGCAAGUCGAACGGCAAGGCCCUGCUUUUGUGGGGUGCUCGAGUGGCGAACGGGUGAGUAAUACAUGAGUAACCUGCCCUUGACUUUGGGAUAACUUCAGGAAACUGGGGCUAAUCCCGGAUCGAUGCUCCUGCUGCAUGGUGGGAGUUGGGAAGUUGCGGCGGUUGGGGUUGGACUCGCGGCUUAUCAGCUUUUUGGUGGGGUAGUCGCAUACCAAGGCUUUGACGUGUAGCCGGCCCGAGAGGGGGGCCGGCGACAAGGGGACUGAGAGACGGCGCAGAGUGCUACUGGAGGCAGCAGGGGGGAGUAUGGCACAAUGGUCGGAAGCCUGAUGCAGCAACGCCGGGGGCGUGAAGAAGGCUUGCGCGUUGAGAACCGCUUGCGCCUGUGACGAAGCGGGAGUGACGGUAAUGGAUAAAGAAGCACCGGCUAACUACGUG
rnacentral:rRNA from 1 species